ensembl:lncRNA
ACCAGUCUAAAUAUAUUGAAUUUAAAUCAUACAAUAAGAUGCUCCCAUAAAAACUCUCUCUCGCCCUCUCUUUCUCUCUCUCUCUGUCACACACACACACACACACACACACACACACACACACACAGGGAGAGAAAAUCAAGUUUCUAGGUCAGUCAAGCAGCCUGGGAGCUGCUAAAUUUGAAUCCACCAAUCAGAGAGGCUGUGUACUUUUUCCCGCCAAAACAGGUGCAGCCGUUUUUACACACACAGAGCACAGAGACAGGAUUUCUGCAGUGAAUUUCUCAUAGUGAGGAUUCCUCUCAAACAAAUGGCCAUAAUUUCCUAACCGUAGGGGCUAGAACAGUCAUUCUUACACCGUUUUGUUCAGAAGAGAUGGGGGAAUCUUACAGUGUUGACAAU